AGUGGUAGUUGUUGCAUAGCUUUAGCGACUCUGCAACUUCCGAUCAAUUGAUGGCUUCUCGCCGGGAAAGAACAAGCAGUACAAUUGGGCCGAAGCAAUAUAGUUUUGAAGAAUUAGCAGCGGCAACUGGUCGUUUCUCCCGCAAAAACCUUCUUGGCGAGGGUGGUUAUGGUGAAGUCUUCAAGGGAUUUCUAGAUGAGCACCGUGCUAUUAAGAAACUUAGAAUUAUUUCAUCGGAUGAACAGAGGAAAAAAGAAUUGGAGCACGAGAUCAAGGUCAUUAACAGUGUCAGUCACAGAAAUCUUGUUAAGCUGGUUGGCUACUGCAUUGAAGAAAACGAUGUGUUGCUCGUUUUAGAGUAUUUUCCAAAUAAGUGCUUGAAAUAUAAUUUACAUGUUGAGUUUUAUUUUAUUUUAAUUUUUUUUUUCUUUCCAAGCUCUUAGUUUUAUAUAUGUGCAAACUGAUUAACUUACAAAUAUUAAAUGGCAUGUAGAAAGAAAAGGGAGGAUUUUGGUUUGGCAAGAAAGAAUGCAAAUCGCCAAAGGCUUAGCAAAAGGAUUGGAAUAUUUGCAUGAAGACUGUGAGUAUUUAAUAUGAAAUUAGCUGCUUGCUAAAUGCUAGGAUAUUUUUUAUGGGGAAAAAAACAUAUUUUCUUAAUAUUUUUCAGGUAAUUUUAGAAUCAUACAUCAGGAUAUCAAACCGGGUAAUAUUCUUCUUGAUGACAAUUUUGAAUCAAAGGUAAGUUAAUUAAAUAAUAUACGAAACUUAUCAUAGGUGUAAUCAAAGUCACUAUAUAUAGUAAAACUCUAAGUUAAUUCCCUUUUUGUUGGCAAAAUUAUGCCAACACAUUAAUUCUAAUGUUGGUUUUCUUUGAUAGAUGGCACAGUAGAUCUGCUAAUGUUUAGAUUAUUUUGUGCAGAUUGCAGAUUUUGGACUCGCCUUAUUUCUCCCAGAUAAUGCUACUCAUGUUUCCCAAUAAGCUGUGGGAACUGAAGUGUGAGACAUAUAUAUUAUCUCUUAAUUAAAUUGCCAUCUAUACAAGGAAAAAUAAAAAGUAAAAACAAUGAAAACUUAGCAAAGGUCAUAUUUUGGCCUCUCUAGUAUAGACUUUUAUUUUCUAGAGAAGGAUUUUUAACCUGAUUCUUCAUUGUGUUUUCAACUACAGUUAUAUGGAGAAAUCAAAAAGAAUUUCUAAGAAAUCAGAUGUUUAUUCAUUUGGUGUAGUGCUUCUUGAGCUGAUCACCGGCAGAAAACCAAUAUGCGAUGGCAUUGAUAUUGUUAACUGGGUAUGCUACUAGCUUGUUUUAUAUCAACAGAAGUUGCUUCUAGUGUGGCACAUCAUCAACUUCCUGGUGACGAUUGCUACUUCAAUUAUUUUAAGUGUUUGCUUUUGUUACUCUUGGACUGUGGUUCUGCAUUUCAAGCUUAAAACAUCUUCAACAAGAUUACAUGUACAUUUUCUUUUAAUUUUUAUUUUUAUCAAUAUUCAGGCAAAAAAUCCAAUUAAACAAGCUUUGAUGGGACAGUAUUCGGGUUUUGUCGAUUCCAAAUUGCAAAGCUAUAAUGUAGAAGAAAUAAAGCUGAUGAUUUGUUGUGCUGAACACUGUGUUUAUAAACCUUCAACGGAUCGUCCAAGAAUACGAGAGGUAUAAAAAUGAUCCAGUUAGUGUUUUAAUCAUUUAUAGUUUGUGUGUGCGUCACCUUUUUAUUAUUGCUAUGCCAUGCAGAUAGUUCGAGUUCUUGAAGGAUUUAUUCCUCCUCAGGAUAAGGAUGCUACUGACUUCCUCCAGCAUAGGGUGCAGAAGCUUUCCAUCAUUCCAGAAACUGAUGAUAAUGACAGUGUGGAGUCUGAAGUUUAUAGUACGAGGAUGUUUCCUUAUCAACAACUUGAAAGAGCGACUCAAGGUUUCUCCCAAUUUCUUGGUGAGGGAAGUCUAGGUCUAGUUUAUAAGGGAUACCUGGAUGGCAAAGAAGUUGCUGUAAGGCAACUUAAAGAUCUUCCAGAUGAAAAACAAAAAGAAAAUUUGGAGAAAGAUAUUAAGAUCAUUGGCAGUGUGAAUCACCCAAAUCUUGUCAGGCAGAUUGGAUACAGCAUUCAAGGACUCAAUAGAUUUCUUGCUCUAGAGUUUUUCCCCAGUAUCUCCUUGAAAUCUCUUUUACAUGGUGAGUCAUUUUACUUGCAUCCUAAUUAAUUUAUUCACAUAUAUAGGUAUCUAUGCGUAAUUGCAAAAUAUUACAACUAAGAAAUUUAUCGAAAUUUAAUUUAAUCGUUUUCUUUUUUUUUUAAAUAUUCUAAUUGUUAGAAUAAAAACUCAAUUUCUUUAAUUUAAAAACAGUUGACUAUGAAUUGAAAAUUUUUAUAUAGGAAAGCGAACAUUGGAGUGGUCAAAAAGAGUAAAAAUCGCAAUAGACUCUGCAAGAGGAUUGGAAUAUCUUCAUGAAAAUUGUGAGUGUAUAUAUAAUUCACAAUAUUCAUUUCCAUGUUGCCUUAAGAAUUUUCUCUUUCGUUUUUUCAUGUUAUCAAUCUAUUUUUUGUUAUAUUUUUCUAUUAUAUUUUAUAUUUACAGGUAAAAUUGUACAUGGAGAUAUUAUGACAAAUAAUAUUCUUAUUGAUAAUAAUUUUCAGCCAAAGGUAAAAAAGAGUUUAUUAUGCUUAAGUUAAAUGCCAAAAUUUUCUUUGUAAAAUAUGCAGACUUUGGAUUACAAAGAUAAUUUUGGUUCAGGUUACAAACUUUGGACUUAUCAAGUAUUACAGAUCUGAGAGAACUGUUGUGUAAGAACGUUUUCUUUCUUUCUUUUUUUUUUUUUUCAUUCUGUUUCUUAUUAUUUUUUUUAUAAGCAAAUUUUUAUUAAAAUAAAAUCCUCUCUUUCUUAUUACUUGAAUUACUUAAUAUUGCAAUUCUAUCCCUUUGAAUUAGUUAAAAUAAAAUAAAACUAGACAGUUUAUUAGGUUUUUCUAUUGACAGAUUUUUUUUUAAUUUUUUAAUCUUUUAAUUCAAUUACAUUACAGUUAUGCAGAUCCUGAAGAUAGAAAAAGAAUUUCUGAAAAUUCAGAUAUUUAUGCUUUCGGUGUUGUGCUUUUAGAAUUGAUUACCGGCAUAGAAUCCAGGAAAAAAGGCACCAAUAAUAUUGUUAACAAGGUAUGAACUUAUCUAUAAUGGUUUAUCAUAUCAUUAGUAACUUAGUUAAUCUAUAAUAUAUUUAAUAAAGGAUAGAAGCAGUCAAUUUUAAACCAACAUAUUUCAUCUAUGAAUUUGUUCAAAUGGAUUUUUGAAGAAAAUUCUACAAGCUAGAUAGACUUUUGAUCAAUUAUAUAUUUUAGCAGGUAGCUUGUUCUUAAUAUGAGCGUAUACUUACAAAUGUGCUACAAAGCUUAAGGCUUUUAUUUUUGAAAAAGAAAAGUAACAACUUUCCCAUUAAUAUUCAGGCAAAAACUUUAAUGAGACAAGCAAUGAAAAGAGAGUAUACCACUAUUCUUGAUCCUACAUUGCAAGGUAAUUAUAAUAAAAUAGAAAUAGAUCGAAUGUUUUGUUGUGCUGCUGCGUGUGUCUAUAAACCUUCAGCAUUUCGUCCACAGAUAAAGAAGGUAUGAGUUCAUCCACAGUCUGUCAAAACUUUCAAAGAUUACAUGGUUUAUGUCUAACUUUUUUUUUUUUCUUUUAUACCUUUAUUAUGUCAUACAGAUAGUUGGAGUUCUUAAAGGAAGUAUUCCUCGGAAGGACAUAUGGAAUGAGAGUGACAAUCAAUUCUUAUCGAAUACUAUAGUUAAAGGUCUCAAUUUUAUAAUGAUAUAUAUUUUUUAUUUUUUCUAAAUUACCAUCUAUUUUAUUUUAUAAGUGAUAAUUAAUUAAUAUAUUGCUGUUGAAUAAUAAAUUAUAAAAGUAUUGAUAUAAAUUAUUUUUAAAAAAUAUUCAAAUAAAUUCUUGUAAAAUUAUGUAUGAUUUAAUUUUCAUAUAGAGUAAAAGUUUUUAUGUAUGAUAAAAGUUUUUUAAAUUAAAAAAAAUUAAAUUUUUUAUUUUAUAUAAGAAAAUUAUAAAAAAAUUUAAUUGAAUUAAAUUCUUAUCUUUUUUAUUUCAAAGAGACGAAUAAUAAAUUUUAAUGGAAAGUACAUAAGUAUUAUUUAAUCUCGGUUCCAACUACUAAAUGUUCACUUUGUUUUUUCCGGUAUCAAGAAUCUCCACCUUUGUUAACAAAACCAGAGAAAAUGGUUGAAGAGGGAAACGUGAUUGCCUGCCACACAGUGAAGGCUUGGAAGAAGCAGUAUAAGAGGGGAAAGCGAUUGAUUGUGGUGGAUUUUAGUGCUUCCUGGUGUGGGCCUUCUCGUUUCAUGAGUCCAAUUCUGGCAGGGUGGGCGAAGUUGAUGCCAAAUGUCAGAUUCUUGACGGUGGAUGUUGAUGAAUUGAGUUCUGUUGCAAGAAAUUGGGCAAUUGAGGCAAUGCCAACAUUUUUGCUCUUGAAACGAGGACAAUUACUCGACAAGGUUGUUGGUGCCAACGUACCGCUACUGCAGUUGACCAUCGCAAGGCAUGCUGGUGGCGCACACAGGACUUUAGGUCAGUGCAAAUAAUUGUACAUUUUUUAUUAUUAAUUGUACUUUUUUAUUAUAUAUAAUUAAUUAAAUAAUUAUUACCUCUCCAUUUACAAUUAAAAAAAUUAUAAUAAUUAAAUAAAAUAAUAUCGUUUGAUUUAAUUUUUUUUAUAAAUUUAUUAGUAAUUCAAUUUUUUUUUUUAAUGAUACAGGACCUGAAGUGUUGAAUCCUGCUAUAUUUUCACAACCUACAAAUGUCUACGUGACACUUCCAACCGGAUAUGCACAACCGCAAUUCAUUAGCAUGACUUCUGUUCAGAAUCCACAAAUGUUUCCUCCUUAUCCUAACUAUCCAUACUAAAGAAAAUAGUUUGGCUCGGAGAUUUCAAUAUGAAUUUAGUUUUUAGAAGCUUACUAAAUACUAUAAUUUAGCUGUUCUUUUUUUUUUUUUUCUCCCGGUAUCAAGAAUCUCCAUCGUGGUUAACAAAACCAAAGAAAAUGGCUGAAGAGGGAAAGGUGAUCGUCUGAAACAAAAUGAAGGCUCGGAAGAAGCAGUAUAAGAAGGGAAAGCGAUUGAUUGUGGUGGAUUUUAGAGCUUCUUCCAUGAGUCCAGAUCUGCCAGAGUUGGCGAAGAAGAUGCCAAAUGUCAAAUUCUUGACGGUGGAUGUUGAUGAAUUGCCUUCUGUUGCUAGAAAACGGGCAGUUGACGCAGUCCCAACCUUUUUAUUAUUGAAACGAGGAAUAUUACAAGGUUAAUAACAUAUAAUUAGGAGGGUUAUCAAAUCCAUCAAUUAUAAUUAAUUUUCCUUUUUAAUUCAAUAAUUUUUAUAACUAGGAGAAUGAGUUUCGAUUUAUAGAGAUUUUAAAUUUAUUUAAUUUAAAUAUUAAAUAUGAAAAAAAUUAUUAAAAUAAAAAGAGAAAAAAAUUUAAUUGAAAAUUUAGUUUCAAGAAAAGUCAAGAGGAAGAAAAUAUGUGUGAUAAAAUUAUUAAAUAAAUAAUUAAUUAAAAGUUUAAUAGAAGGUAAUCAGAGGUUUAUUAAUUAAUUAUUAAUUUAAAAAGGUAAUUCACUUAAUUUUUCAUUAUUUAGUUAAAAUGUUCAAAUAAGUAAAUUUCAUUAAUUCUUCUUUAAAAUUAAAUUAAUUUAUAAAGUGUUAAAUUAAUUUUUAAUUAAUUAACAAUUUCAAUAAGCUUGUAGAUUUAAUUAAUUAAUUAUAUUAAGAAAAAAAUUUAAACUUUAUUAAUAAUUAGAAGCGGAUUAUUUAAAUCAAAUCAUGCAAUUCCUUAACAUAAAUAAAUAUGGUAAUUACUAUUUGUAUUAAUCCAAUUAAAUAAUUAUAUAUUUACUUAAAUUAAAUAGCAAUAUGUUAUUUAAUUAUGAUAUUCAAUAAGCCUCUUGAAUAUCUAAGAAAACAACAAUUGAGGUGAUAUUUUUCAAAAAUAGAAAAAGAAUGAAAAUAUAAAUUAAGAUGAUAAAAAAAUGAGAUUAGAUCUCACAACUUGAUAAAAAUCUCAACUAGAUUACUUUCAACUAAGCAAGAGAAGCUAGCUACUCAGAGCCAUUAUAAAAAUGUAGAAAAAAUAAAAAGAAGAAAAUUUGGUUCAGCUUAAGAUGUUGAAGAAAUCGAGAGACGAAGAGAAAAAAAAAAGAGGAGAUAUGUAUUAAAAUAUGGAGUUUAAUAAUAUAUUUUUUUAAGAGUUAUUUUGUCUUUUUAUAUUUUUUCUGAACAUAUAAAUUUGUAAUAUUUUUUUAGUGUAUUCUGUUCAAAAAACUCCCAGAAAAAUAAAAAAACAAUAGUCACAGUGGAUAUUAACCAAAUUGAUGAAACAUGUUAAAUUUGUGCGUUAAUUUCUUUUCGUACUUAUUUUUUAUAUUGUAUGAUUGUUCGAUUCUUAACAAUAUGUGUCGAAGAAGAGAUGAAUUAAAAGAUGAUCUCGUACUCCUAAAACAGCUCUUAUAUAGAUUUUUCCCAAUCAAAAAAUAAAAGGAAUUAUUCAAUUUUAAUCAUAUUUGCAACUAUUUGAAAUAAUUUGAAUUUUGUACCGGAUAUAAAAAUUGAAACUCUAUUGUCUGUCCAUGGAGCUUGGACCACAGACUUGGGCAAAGCAGAACUUGUCAGUCCACAAUAGGUCUAAAAUAGCCUCUCUUGAUGCCUUUUACCACAUUUAGCUCUAAACUUGUCCAAAAUUAAAAUCCAAGUUAAAAAUUCAUUUUUUACCAUUAAGAAUAUAACAAAAUUAUGGAAAUUAAUAUAGAAAAAGUAUUGAAUUUGACAACUCAUCAAAUUAUAUUUUUAUUAAUCGACUAAUAAUUCUAUAGGCUUAAUAAUUGAUGUUGCUUCAGUCCUUUCUUCGGAAAAUAGAUUUACAAAAUAACAAGAAAAACCGAGUAGUUUGAUGGAUAAAACCUCCAAUACUUAAGUCAGUAAGGGAUCCAAGGUGAAUUUAGAAAAAAUAUUAGAUAGAUCACAUACCUGGAGAUUGACUCUUUAAAUAGUUUGUCGGUAGUCUUAUUUUGAUAAGAUUUUGAUUUUGUGAUUGAGUCCUAGUAGGACAAGAAAUUAUUCUGUUUGAGACUUUAGACUAAAAUGGGCCUUGAGGUCCUGUUUAAUAUGAAAUGGAUUGUAGAGAGAUCCAUUCAGAUUUUUGGGCUUUUAAUGGUUCCUAUGUCAAUAUCAUUAGUCCCUCCAUUUGUCCAUGAAUCUUUAGGUUUAGAAAACUUUCUUCUUCUUCUUAUUUUUAUUUUUCUCUUUCUUUUUUAUACCGUGCUAUUAUGUUGCUAUUGAAUGAUACUACAUUAGGAAAAUGAAGGUCGUUCUCUUGCUCCUUUUGUUCAUCUUCUUUUUCUUCUUUUCUAGUCGCUGAAUUUUGGAGUUUGUUCUUUGUGCUCUUUCGCUCAAAGUACUCUUCUUAAAUUUAUUUUUGAGUUUUACUUGUGGUUUUUUUUCUUAGGUGUUUUCGAUCUUUAAAGUUUUGUAGUACUUGAAAGUUUUCAGUUUUCGGCCUCUAGCUACAGUUUUCGGCCUCCAGAGACAGUUUUCGGCCUUUGGCUAUAGUUUUCGACCUCCAGCUAUUGUUUUUGGCCUCUGACUAUGGUUUUCGGUUUUUGGCUACGGUUUUUGGCCUUUGGCUAUGGUUUUCAAUUUUUUGGCCUAUAGUUACAAUUUUCGGCCUUCGGCGAUAGUUUUCAUCAUCCGACUAUAGUUUUCAGCUUCUGAUUUUUUACUUUCAAUUUUUGGUUUUCAACCUUCAGUUUUCGGCUUUUGAUUUUUUAUUUUUAAUCAGUUGAAUUUUUAGACAGUUGGCCAGUUAGGUUUUCGGCCUUUCAGAUUUUCGGUCUUGGCGUGGUAGCACGCUGGUUUUGAUUGACUUGUUUUCCCACUGCAUUGACAACUCGACAUUAAUGAGAUCUGAUAUAAUGUUGCCAGUAACAUGGUACCAUGCUACUAUCAUAGUACUAUGCUGCCACGGUAUUAGUUGUUGAUGAGGGUGCUCAUAACUCUUAAGGGUCUAUUGGUUUGCUUACUUAUUUUUCUAUCGUAUUAACCACUUGACAUUUAUGAGAUCUGGUACUAUGCUACCAUGGUAUCACACUAUCAUGAUAUCAGUUGCUAAUGAUGAGGGCGCUCAUAAUGCCUAAGAGGUAAUUGGUCUGGCUGACUUAUUUUUCCUCUAUAUUGGUGGCUUGACAUUGAUAAGGUCUGGCACCAUACUGCUAUGGUAUCAGUUGCUGAUGAGGGCACUCAUAAAGCUUAAAGGCCAAUUAGUCUGGCUGACUUAUUUUUCCCCUGUAUUGGCGGCUUGACAUUGGUAUCAGUUGCUGAUUAGGACGCUUAUAAUGCCAAAGGGGCAAUUGGUUGGCCGACUUAUUUCUCUUAUGCAUUGGCGGUAUAAUGUUGAUAAGAUCUAAUAUCAUGCUGCCACGGGAUCAGUUGCUAAUAAGGGCGCUCGUAAUGCCUAAGGGGCAAUUGGUUUGGCAAACUUACCAUGGUAUCGGUUAUUGAUGAGGGUGCUCAUAACGCCUAAGAGGCAAUUAGUCUGGCUGAAUUAUUUUCCCUCUAUAUUGGCGGCUUGAUAUUGAUAAAAUCUGGUACCAUGCUGCUACGAUACCAUACUGCCAUAGUAUCGGUUGCUGAUGAGGGCGCUCGUAAAGCUUAAAGGGCGAUUGGUCUUACUGACUUAUUUCCCUCCUGUAUUGGCAACUUGACGUUGAUAAAGUCAGCAUAGUAUCAUGCUGCCAUGGUACGAUGUUGCUGUACUAUCAGUUGCUGAUAAGGGCGUUCGUAAUGCCUAAAGGGCAAUUGGUUUGAUAGACUUAUGUCCCCAUGCACUGCUUGAUGUUGAUAAUAUCUAGUAUCAUGUUGUCAUAGUAUUAAUUGCUGAUGAGGGCGCUCUUACGUCGUCUAAGAGGACAAGUGGUUACCUGAAAAAGUGCCUUACAUUGCUUAGGUGAGCAAGUGGUCGCCUGAGAGGGUGUUCUUAUAUUGCUUAGGAGCAAUUUUACGUCGCCUAAAUGGAUAAGUGGUUGCCUAAAAAGUACUCUUAUAUCGUCUAAAUGGACAGAUGGUUGCUUUAAAGGGUGCUCUUACAUCACCUAAGGACACUCUUACAUUUUAUAAAUUUUAAUAAUCUUAUAAUUAUUACUAUAUAUAAAUUUAUUAAUAUUUUUUAUCUUUUAAAAUAUAUUUAAAAAAAUUAUUUUCUGAGAUAAUUUUUUUUAUAGAAAUAUUUUUCAUAGAUAGAAAAUAUAUUGUAUAUUUUCAAUUUAUUUUCUUCAAAUAUAUAAAACAGCUUUAACUUUGCUAAUAUUUAGAAUCACGUCGGCAUUAUAGAUAAGACAAAUUUUAAUGGAAAAACGAUUAAAUAUAAAGACAAAACCAUCAAUUAGCUGUAUUAAUUUAGACCAUAACAACUAACAUUGUUUAAAGUAAUUAAUUAAUGAGACUUUAGCAUUUGAAGUAGACUAGUGUCUUAUUCCAAAAAAAAAAAAUUAUUAUAUUAUUGCAAGAGACCUCUCUGUUAAAUUAAUAUUAUCUUUAAGACAUGUGAAUUUAUUUUAUAUUUAUUAAUAUAUUAUUAAUCAGUAUAUAUAUCUGUUAAAUUUUUAUUAAUUUAUUAAAUAUAAAUUUUUUCAUAAAAUAUAUAUAUUUUUUAUUUUACUCUUGAGAUAGUUUAGAAAAUAGAAGUAAAUAAAUUUCAAUUAUAAAAUUAUACCAAACAUGAUUAUUGAAUUAUUCAUUUUAGAUUUUUUUUAAAAAAUAAAACUACCGAUUGUAUUGAUAAAAUUCUAUUAAAUAAAAAGAGAUAUCAUCCUAAACAGAGAGACGAUUAUGUCUAAUAGAUUCUCUAACCAAAGUAUGAGCGGUUAGAGUAGUAUUACGAUGAACCCAUCUAAUAGAAAAUCCCUGCAUAAGAUAAUUUAGCAAAAAUACUCCUCAAGUGGCUGUCUAAACCACUGCAUAAGAUAAUUUGACAAAUAUAUUCCUCCUUCUUUCUCAUCUCUCAAGUAUAAAUCAUUAAAGUCUCCCGACCAAAGCCACGGAAGAGAGCUUCUACGAGAUAAAGCUCGAAUAAGGUUCUAAGACUGACGUCGUCAUUGCGAUUUUAGAAACUCAUAAUAACUAGUAAACCUCCAUUGACCAUUACCUUCCGAAAUAACCGAAUCAAUAAAAUUUAAAGAAAAGCCAACCACAGAAAUAGACACAUGACUCUUCCACAUUAACGAAACGCCUCCUCUCAAUCAUUGUCUAUUGACUGAGAAGCAACUAUCAAAAUGUAAAAAACUACGAAAAAAUUUUGUUGUCCCUUGAAACAACCCAAGAGAGGGGGUGAAUUGGGUUUAUAAAAAAAAUUAAGGUAAAGAGACACAAAUUAAAAAGGGAGUAAGAAAGGUGAAGAAAAAUCAACACAAAGGUUUAUAGAGGUUCAACUAUCUCAAGUCUACGUCCUCUCCUCAAGGUCCUCUCCUCAUGGUCCUCAUUGAGAGUUCAACUCCACUAUCUAAUCUUCUUUGGGUGAAGAUUAAAACUCCUUGCAAUUCUAGAGCAAAAAUCUUGCUCUUUUACAAAUCUCUUUUUCUCACAAGAAUAAUCAUUUGCUCAAAAUCACACCCACCACAAUUAAUUCACUCAACAACCUUCACUCAAUCUUAAAACUCAAACCAAUUACAACUCAAAACAGACUUUCAAAGAAUUAAUGCUAUAGCUCAAGGUUUUGAGAGAGAGAGAGAGAAAAAGGCUUUAAUCUCAAUAAGUGUUUGCUUAGAUGGUUGUUGUAACCUUUUCAGAUAAAAAACACAUUAUAUUUAUAGUUCUGUUAUAAAUAUGGCCGUUGGGGAUGCAUUAAAUGCAAAUAGAGUCAUUUAUGUACAGAAAUAACCGUUAUAUCGUGUUCAGAAAAAUUUAGGUUCGGCGGUCUAAGGUUAAAGUUCGGCGGCCGAACCUUUUGAGGUAAAGAACAUCUUUCUUGAAAAUGGACUUUCGGCGGCCUAAAGUCCAUAUUCGGCGGCUGAACAUAUGGGAUUUUUGCCUUUGCCUCUGUCCCUUCUCCUUCAGAAGCCGAAAGUUACACUUUAGAGGGCAUGUUGAAAACAGACUUUUGGCGGUCGAACAUAUGAGACUUUUGCCUCUGUCCCUUCUCUUUCAGAAGAUGAAAGUUUCACUUUAGGGGGCAUGUUGAAAAUAGACUUUCGACGGCCGAACAUAUGGGACUUUUGCCUCUGUCCUUCACUUUCAGAAGUCGAAAGUUUCACUUUAGGGAGAACAAAAAAUAAUUUUUUAAAUCUUUGAAAAAUCAUAACUUAGGCUAUAAAACUCCAUUUUUCAAUCCGUUUGAAUUUUUGCAACCUAUAUUUUUGAAUAUUUUAUUUUAUAAAAAAUAAUUUCAAAAUCACUCCUUUUAGAAAAUUUCAUUUUGGUCCCUCCAAGUCAAUUACUUAAAACUUGGCCAUAUUUAGAAAAAACUUUUAGGAUUGAAAGAAACCUUGAGCCAUCACAAUUAAUUAAUUGAAAUUCACAAUGCAUAAAUUGACAAUGCAAAGAAAAAUUACAAUCUGAUCCCCUUCUUCUGAUAUGCUUCCAAAAUUGGCACUUUCCACUUUUGAGUCCUAAGCGAUUUCAUUCAUUUUAAUAAGGGACCUACAAGCUCAACAUAAACACUUUUAAAGAAUAUUAGUAGCACACCAAUUGUUUAUUUAUCAUCAAAAUAAGGAUUAGAACAUUUAGGUCCAACAAAUUCCAUACGAGAACUAAGAGCUAGCUUUUAUUUUCAUCAAAAAUAAAAUGUCUGGCUUGUAACUAGUAACCAAAUCUUUCAAUGUAUUAACUGUCCUCAGCAGUUCCAACACAGGACGAUCAUUGCUUUCGGCUAUUCUGACCUUUGACGGGAUGAGCCGCUUCACUGUUGCUUGUCGAAUUAACAUUCGCAGGGGUGUUGUUAGAGGCAUCCUGUUGAGAGGAAGGAAAACCUGUAAUAAUGUUAUGUUUAGUGUUUCUUGGCCUUUUUUUAGCAUCAUCAUUUAUUCGGACUGCAAUCUCCUCAUCAAAUUUAUCAGAACUGCCUUGGCUCACAGAAUUCUUGUGCAUGUCCAUAAUAUGGUCCUCAGUCUCCUUAUUUACAAUGGGUUGACUUUUGCCAAAUAAGGAGAAUUGCCUAUUAUGUGCUGCCAAAUUAGUGUUUUUAAAAUUGCUAAUUGAUGCUAAUCCUGCCACAAAUCCCGGCGGAGCAGAAUUGCCAGAAUCACGCAACCAUAGGCUUAUCGGUCUAUGGUUCCGACGAACAGGUGCUUUGAGGAAAUCACCCCAAUCAAACUUGAUAUCUUCUUUCUUCAACCUCAGCUGCAAGUCGCAGAAAGCCUUCACAUGACCCAGUUUCCCACAUAGAUAGCAAAAAGUAGUCAACUUUUCAUAUUGAAACUUCACAGUAAACACAGUACCAUCAUCUCCAACAAACUUCUUCCGCCGUUUCAAAGAUUGCCAAAUGUCCAAACAAACUUUAACUCUCAUAGGGCCCGGCGACAUAGCUAAAGCAUUUUUCAUAUCAUACUCUUUAUAGUGGCCAACAAAAUUCCCAACCAAUUUAGCCAACGUCUCGUUAUAAUAACCAGAAUGGAGGUCUUUCAUCAGAACCAAAAAAUCAGAAUGAGUUAGAGGAAUAUGGAGAUGAUUUUCAUUACCUUGUAUCUCCUUCCAAACAAGCAGAAAUCGAUUGUACAACCAAGGACCCCCAUUCCCUAUAUUUUCAAAAUCAACAUUAUUAAAAAACCGAAACAUAUAUCUUUUUGCCUCUAAUUCCAUAAUAGAUAACCCCUAUAAAGGAUGUCAUAAAUCUGUCAAACAGAUCUGCAUAUUCUGGAAAUUGAUUUGAUUGUAUGUAAGAAAUAUCCCCACCAUACAGAAAUCAUAAGUGACGAUCAGAAUAUCUCUGGAACUCUUAAUAGGGACAACAACAUCUUCUUCGUCGAUAGUCAAUUGACACAUAUAGUCUUUCAUGGAGAAGGGAAAGAAUAAGUUAGGUUUAAGGAAGAGAAAAGGCGAGAGUAUCGAGCCGCAAAGGGACCACAGAGGGAAACUUACAUUCACACUAUUUAUUUUAGGUUAUAUUAUACUAAAUAUUCAAAUUCAUUUUAAAUGAAUUGUAUUUAAAUUCAGUUGAAUGUAUUUACGAAUGUUUUUGUAAGAAAAAGAUUUAAAUGAAUUUUUAUAAAAUUAUUCAUGAUUUAUUUUUAUACAUAAUAAAAAUUUUUAAGUUAAAAAAUUUUAAAUUUUUUUUAUUUCAAAUAAAAAUUUUGCAAAAAAAAAAAGAAUUAAAUUAAAUUUUUACAAAAUUUUUUAUUUCAAACGGAGAAUAUAAUAAAAAUAAAAUUUUUAAAAUAAAAAUACCUAACGAAUAUUUAUAUUUUGAUUUUUUUUUUCAAUAAUAAGAAAAUUUAUUAUUAAAUAAAAACAAGACGAGAUACUACCAAGGAAAAAAUAGUAUUUAAAUACAAAUAGUAUAAAAUUUUAUUAAAAUUUUUAUAAACUUUAAUUCUUAUGGUAGUUUCUGUGCAAUUUUUCCAUGUAAAUGUAAUCCAUGGGAUUUAACAUGAUAAUUGGAAGUAAUUGCCAGAGUAACGUUACAUAAAUUCGUUAAGCAUAUUUAUUUUGUAAGAAUGAUAAAUCAUGUUAUUUGAUCUUAAAAAUAUGAAGACCAAACGAUAGGUUUCUCUAAAGUUCAAGAUUAUAUUAUAAUUUAGGGUAAACUACAGUUUAGUCCCUCUAAUUUAAUGAAAUAUUUACUUUAGUUCCUGUGUUUUUUAAAACCUACAAUUUAAUCUUUCACAUUUAAAAAAACUGCAAAAUAGUCCCUACAGUCAAAUUUUCAGUUAACCUUCCAUUUAUUUUAAUGAAAAUGACUAAACUACCCUUUAAAUAAAAAAAUCCAAUCAAACACUAUUUUUCACUUCCAAAUCAGCCCAUCUCACUACCUCUCAUUCCCGAUCCUCUUCUUCCUUUUCUCCUCAUCUUUCUCCUUCUUUUUCCGAUUCUCUUCUUCCUUCUCUCCUCAUCCUUCUUCUUCUUCUGUGUUUGAUUUCAUGCAAUUGGGCGAGAUGGUAGUGGUGAUUAUACGAAUAUGGAUAAAUAUGAAGAGCUUCUUCCUUCUCUCCUCAUCCUUCUUCUUCUUCUGUGUUUGAUUUCAUGCAAUUGGGCGAGAUGGUAGUGGUGAUUAUAUGAAUAUGGGUAAAUCUGAAGAGCUUCUUCCUUCUCUCCUCAUUCUUCUUCUUCUGUGUUUGAUUUCAUGCAAUUGGGCGACAUAGUAGUGGUGAUUAUACAAAUAUGGGUAAAUCUAAAGAGAGAAGAAGAACAAUGAUGAGAAUAAAAUAGAGCAGAUAAGUGAGUAAGAGCAGCCGCAACUAAGAAGAAGAAGAAGAAGAAGAAGAAGAAGGAUGAGGAGAAGAAGGAGAAGGAGAGGAUUGGGAAGGGGAGGUAGUAGGAUGGAGCGAAUACUGUUUGGUUGAGUUUUUUUACUUAAAGGGUAGUUUAGUCAUUUUCAUUAAAAUAAACGGAAGGUUAACUGAAAAUUUGACAGUAGGGACUAUUUUGCAGUUUUUUUAAAUAUAUGUGAAAGAUUAAAUUGUAGGUUUUUAAAAAUAUAGAGACUAAAGUAAACAUUUCAUUAAACUAGAGGGACUAAACUGUAGUUUAUCCUAUAAUUUAAUUUAAAUUAUUUAAAUUUAUUUUUAAAUAAUUAUAAAAAAAUUUAAGUAUAUUGGAUUUUUAUGGUAUAAAAUUUAAAUAAUUAGGUAUAAUGUUGAUUUCGCAUAAAUGUUUGAAAUUUUUCAUUCAUUAGUAUAUUUUUGAAUUAAAAAUUUAGAACAAUUAUCCUUAAAUUAUCUUAAAUAAACAUUUUAAAAGAAAUAGAAAUAAUUUAUAAUUUUAUAAGAAUUUAAUUUAUUAUAAAUUAGAGGAUUAUGAAUAAAAAAAUUAUAAUUAUAAUUAUAGUUUUAACAUCAUAUUUUGAAAUAGAUACUUAUAUAUGCGAAUAUAAUGGAUGCGAGAAAAAUGGCUCACCAUGUAAAAGAGAUUCUAAAUGUAUUGGGUCCUUCAAUGCAGUAUCCAACUAGCCUAACAAGAUUUGGGUGAUUUACACUGCAAAUGAUCUUAAUAUCCUCAUUCAAUUCUUCUCUGAGUUUUUCAUCUGGAAGAUAUUUUAGUCUCCUUACGGCAACGUAUUGGCCAUCUAGGGAUCCCUUAUAAUAAUCUGCACCUAGACCACCCUCGCCAAGAUAUUGGGAGAAAUCUUGAGUUGCCGAUUGAAGUUGUUGAUAAGUGAAUCUCCUUGGAUUAUAAGCUUUAAACUCCGCAGUGUCCUUAUCGUCAAUUUCUGGAAUGAUAGAAAGCUUCCGCAUCAUCUGCUGGAGGAGAUUAUCUGGAUCAACCAAGAAACCCAUCAACUUUGAUCAGAAGAAACCUGCUGACUGUAAACUUAAUUAACUUCUUUUUAGUAAAUUAAGUGGAUUUCAAAAAAAAAAAAAAAAACGAUUUUUUGGAAAAACUCGUUCUUAUCUUAUCCCCAUCUAAUUUUGAUUAUAUUAUAAAGUUCUCUAACUUGCCCAUAAUUUUUAUUUAUUGUUAACAAAUUUAUAAGUCAACAAAUUUUACCAUUUUUAUUGAUGGAUGAAAUUUUAGCGGAUAAUUUAUGCAAAUAUUAAUAAAAAAAUCAUUCGAUACCUUUCGUUGUGGACAAAGGAUUGCAACCUUGAAUCUAUAAAAUCUACAUAUUCUCCAUUCAAAGCCUUUUCAAUAAGAGGUUUUGCCUACAAGAUAUUAAUGAAAAUUAUUUAUUAAUGGAUCUGAAAAGCAUGAUGCACGUACAUUUGUAUUUAUCUUAUAGUAUAUGGUUUUGUCUUUUUAUAUUUUUUUAAUGUGCUAUAGAGAAUGCUUCAUUAUUUUAUCUAUACAUAUAUACAUCCAACUCUGAUUUGAAUUCAAUUCCUCCUUCUAAAUUGAUUUAUAUAGCACAAUUUUUAAAUUGCAAUUUUUAUAUCAAACUAUUAUAAAGUAAUAGAGUCAUAUCCAAAUAACAAUGUCAAUUCAUUUAUCAUCUAUAGGAUUUCUUUUCGAAAUCAUCUCUAAAAAUAUAAUAUCAAAAGAAUAAAUAUCGGAUUUAUUAGAGUGUUUUCUCAAUUGUGUUGUCAAUAGAUUGGUAUAAUUGUAAUUAAAUAAUCAUAAUUAAAAUGUAUUAAUAUUUUCUUAAAAAACUAAUAUCUUCAAAUUAAUUAAGGAACCCUAAUUUCUUCUUGUAUUUUUUUCUUUGUCUUAAUUUUUAUUGUAUUUUUCAAACUAUUCUAAGAGUAGAUAACAAUGGCAUUGAAAAAAAAAGAAAAACAAUACCGAUUCAAUUAAAUGAUAGAAAAGAAGUUGUAUUUUACGUACACUUGUGUUUCCAUAAUUGAUGAUUUGGAUAUGUGAGUAAAAGCAUCCUUAAAAAAUAGGGCAAGUCUAAAAUCUGAAACCUAAAUAAAUGAUUUAAGUAAAUUAAUAAAUUUAUUACAUGUAUAUUUUAUACUAAAAUAUUUUUUAAAAAAAUAUUUUCUAUAUUUUUUGAUAUUUAACACGCCUAAAAAAAUUAAUUAACGAAAAAUUUCAUGAUUAAAGAAAUAAUUAAGUUAUUUUUAAAAAAUGAUUUUCUUAUUUAAAAAAAAUGAUUUUCUCUUUUAAAAAAAGUCAUUUUUUAUAUUUUGAAAAUUUUAUUAAAAUCUCUAUAUAUAAUUUUGGUAAUAUAUUUUAUUUUUAAAUUAAAAUUAAAUAAUAAAAAAUAAGUUAUUUUUAUUACAAAAUAACUUUUAAAAACAAUUAAUACCUCUAGUUUCACUCCGGUGAACUGCCCUGUUCAUCCCCCAGCGAGAGGCCAUCGGAAGUUGCAUAACUUCUGUAACCACGGCUAGAGGUAUUAAGUGUAAAUGUGAAUGGUCAAAGAUAGAGAGGAAGAUGUAGGAAGGAUGGUGGAAGCUAAGACAGUAGGUAUACAUAUGAAGUGGACUUGAUUUCUCACAUUAAUGUUGGAUUAAGACAAUUUAGAUUUCUUUGAAAAUAGAAAGAUAAAUUGGACUUGGUCAAUUGUUAUUGGACUUGGUCAAUUGUUUAGAGUUUUCAUCUAAUCUAUGAAGUGAUUGUGUAAAGUCUUCGUCUAAUCUAUGAAGUGGCUUUUAUAUCAUAUAGGAUACUUAUAUGAUAUAUAAAUAAAAAAUACUGUAAAGAUAUUUAUAUAAAACAGUUAAUUUUUUAUAAAAAAAAAAUUAUUAGUUGAUGACCGCUGGGUUUUACCAUCUCAGUAUGAGGCUAAACUUCAAAAAGUAGUGCUGAUUCAAAAGCUUAUGAAACUUUCCUGACAAAUUGAUCCAAUAUUUUCGAUCCCGAUUCAGGUCCGAAGAUAUUAAGUAUGAAUGUGAAUGUGAAGCAUCAAAAUAGAGAGGGAGCUGUAGGAAGGAUGAUAGAAGGUAAGACAGUAGGUAUACAUAUGAAGUGGACUUGAUUUCUCACAUUAAAGUUAAAUUAAGACAAUUUGAAUUUUUUAGAAAUAGAAAGACAAAUUGGACUUGGUCAAUUGUUUAAAGUCUUCAUCAAUUUAUGAAGUGAUUGUUUAAAGUCUUCAUCUAAUCUAUGAAGUGGCUUUAUACCAUAUAGGAUACUUAUAUAUAUAUAAAAGAAAUACAAUAAAGAUAUUUAUAUAAAAACAGUUAUUUUUUUAUAAAAAAAAUUAUUAGUUAGUUAUAUUUUUUUUAGGGUUCAUUUAUAUAUAAAAAUUAUAUUUAUUUAUUUAUCUAAAUUUUUAUUAAUUUAUUGUAUUAUAUCGAAUUGCUUACCUGAUACAACAGCGAUACGGUAUAAUUUCAAGUAAUUGCUUCUAUUUCUAGAUGCGCAAGCUGCAAUUUCAAUGUUUGGAGCCGUUGAUUGCAGACUGAAUAUACAUUCACAACCUCAUACUAAUUAAUAUUAAUUUAUUAAAAAUCUAAACUAAAAUUGUAACAUAUAUAUUUUUUUGAACGAAUAAAAUUGUAACAUAUUUAAUAUUUAAAUUUAUAAUUAUAAUAAUAAACACAAAUUAAUCUUAUUAUUAUAUUUUAUUAAAAAAUUUUAAUUACACAUAUUACUAAAUAUAUUUUAAACUUUACUAAUUAUACUUUGAUUUUUAUAAAUUGACAAAAUUAGAAGAAAUUAAUUUUAUUGGAAAAAAAUAAAAUUUGAUUACACAUAUUAUUAAUAUUACUAAAUGUGUUAUAAUUUUUAUAAAUCAAUAAAAUUAAAUGAAAAUGAUUUUAUUAAAAUAAAUAAUAAAUUAUUUUUUUAAAAUAUAAUAUUCAUAAUGAAAUAAGGAUACAAAUAAUUUUAUAAAUAAUUGUAUAUAAAAAUAAAUAAUAAAUUAUUAUUAUAAAAUAUAUAAUAAUUAUAAAAAAUUAUUUUGUGAUUUAACAUCUUUUUCAAAUAAAAUUCUAUUAUUUAAUUUGUAAUAAAAAGAACUAUUUGAUCUCUCACGUUAGUGUUAGAUUAAGACAAUUUGGAUUUUUAUUUUUAAUUUUUUUUAAAAAAGAGACAAUUUGGAAUUGUUCAAUGGCAUGAAAUUCUUCAUCUAAUUUAUGAACUGAACUUUUAUAUAUGUUUUGGACUUGUUCAAUGCCAUGAAAUUCUUCAUCUAAUUUAUGAACUGAACUUUUAUAUAUGUGCUGGUUAUUGAAAUUAUUUAAAAUAAUUCUAGAAGUUCAAUAAUCAACAAUUCAACAUGCUUUUUAUCUCAUUGGAUAUAGCUAUUAUGAAUACAAGAAACCUUUCACACAUGUAAGGACUAAUAUAUAAGAAACUUUUCUGGCAGAGAUAUUGUCACCUAUCUUUAUUGUAGUGGUAGUUGUUGCAUAGCUUUAGCGACUCUGCAACUUCCGAUCAAUUGAUGGCUUCUCGCCAGGAAAGAACAAGCAGUACAAUUGGGCCGAAGCAAUAUAGUUUUGAAGAAUUAGUAGUGGCAACUGGUGGUUUCUCCCGCAAAAACCUCCUUGGCGAGGGUGGUUAUGGUGAAGUCUUCAAGGGAUUUCUAGAUGAGUACCGUGCUAUUAAAAAACUUAGAAUUAUUUCGUCGGAUG
rnacentral:lncRNA from 1 species